GUCUGUUCCUCCAGAUAGCUGUUGUCCAUCCCUGACAAGGAACUGUACAAGGCCUGCCUGUUCACGGUCCUUCCUGGGUUAUUUUAUCCUGGACAUAAAGAGAUGUCUCAAGUUUCCUCCUGCUGAAACAGGAAAUCAUAGCCUAAUUCUCUUCUUGUUCGUUGUGUUGCGUGUGUAACCCAAUACCCUCCUCUCGCAUGAAGACGCAUUCAUUGCUGUGAGUUUCCCUACAUUGAUCUUGCCACUGACGUUUCCAGCAAGGCAGAUUCCACGUUAGCUUCCUUCUCUAGGCUUAGCAUCUUCUUUUAGCUCCAACGGCUCCUUAUGUGCAUGUCUUACUAGCUCUUUAAUCUCCUGCCUUGUGGCAUCCAUUCACUCUUUAGUCAUGACUUUUGGUUAAUGUUUCUUCUCACUUCUGUCCCCCCCCCAACAAUGUUCUCUUCAUCUGCUGUCUGCAUUCUGUGUAUUCCUAAGUUAAUAUUUGACCUGAAUACCUGGACUUGGUCCUUGCUUUCUGGUUCUAUUUUUUCAGUGCGUGUGUUUGAAUGAACUCAACGAUGACAUUUCUAAGUUUAUUUGGGUGACUACUCUCUCACCUCCUUCGACCCCAGCUUUGGCCCAUACUCUCCCUCCCUCCUCCCCUCUCUCACCUGUCCCUCCCUCCUCCCAUUUCCUAGUGCCAGUGGAUUCCUGCCCCUGCUUGAUCCUCGGGGCUUAGUGUUGACUGGUUUAUUCUUCCACAAGUCGUUUCACUCCAAAGGAGGAGAUACAGUCAUUCAGAGCAAGCUACAGCCACAGCUGGAACGCAGGUCCUAUGCGUUCCACUGGCUAGAUUGGUCAUAAGAGAGGAUAGAGUUAGAGAUACAGGAGGGAGAGAGAGCCACAGCCAGUGUGGGCUGGUGCUCAGGAAGGAGAAGGAGCUCAGAGGGACCGUGAUGUGAUGUGGCCAGGGGCGAUGCAACCAUCUGCUUUGCCGUGUUGAGAGUGUCAGCAAAACUACUUUGUCAUUCCUUCAUGCUAUGGAACUUGGAACACCUUUCUCUUCUGGAGUGCAUCACCAUGGAAGCAAGCUCUGCCGACCAGUUAAGCAGCUCAGAGCAGUCUGGCUGUGGUAACCUCGACGGCUUCUUGGUAGACCUGGUGUGGUGGCACAUAACCCAAAGUGCAGCACUUGAGAAGCGGAGGCAGGGGUGUUCCCUGGAGCGAGAGGUCAGCCUGAGUGAUGGAGUAAGACUCAGUUUCCAAAAACAGUCAAACAAAACCAAGGUCAAUGAUCUGGUCAGAGGAGAGUAUAUCUGGAGACAGAAUCCUUUCAUUCUCCUGGAAUUCAAGAUUUUUCUAUUAAAGCAAGUCAAA